rnacentral:rRNA from 1 species
GGCUUCUAUAUAGUCGAAGGGCCUCAUGACUACUAAUGUUCCGAGGCAAUCCAUUCGGCGACCUUAAUGAUGUGAUUUGCAAUCCUUUCACUUCAAUCAAAAAAGGUGCUCAAAUACACUAGGGUAUACUCAAUAGAAAGGCCGCCAAUAAGCCACGACCCUUAUGAGUAAUCCGUGGUUUUUUGGCAUAAAGGCCGUAUGAUCAAAUAACUUCGGUGUGGCGCUAUUAAUUGUGGUCAUAGCCCUUAUUUGUAUAUAGUAAGUAGGCCCCGCUCCGAAACAAAGAAAAAAGGUGCGUUAGCACUCACGAGGGACUGCCAGUGAGAUACUGGAGGAAGGUGGGGAUGACGUCAAGUCCGCAUGGCCCUUAUGGGCUGGGCCACACACGUGCUACAAUGGCAAUGACAAUGGGAAGCAAGGCUGUAAGGCGGAGCGAAUCCAGAAAGAUUGCCUCAGUUCGGAUUGUUCUCUGCAACUCGGGAACAUGAAGUUGGAAUCGCUAGUAAUCGCGGAUCAGCAUGCCGCGGUGAAUAUGUACCCGGGCCCUGUACACACCGCCCGUCACACCCUGGGAAUUGGUUUCGCCCGAAGCAUCGGAACAAUGAUCACCCUUGGUAUUUAUUCUGUGUCACACUAGUCACACAAUGCUCUUUGUUGGUCUUAUUGGCCUAUACCACGGUGGGGUCUUCGACUGGGGUGAAGUCGUAACAAGGUAGCCGUA